UCGACUUUUCUCCAUCGCGAGGCAGACAUCUCUCUUUGCCGUCAUUAUCAUUAUCAUUCCACAUCUCCUCCUUCCUCUUCUUCAAUUCGUGGAUUCUCGCCGGCCCGCCUCCUUCCUCUGCGCAGACUUUAGGUCUUCUGGGUCAUGCUUCUUCUCUGCAGAUAGAAUCAAACGGAACCCAAUUUCUCUGAUUCCUCCAUAACUACACAAAAAGGAGUAAGGAAUGAGAAUUCUUAUACAUCUCAACAUUGGAUAAUUCGAUCCUCAUCGAACUUCUCCUCCUUCUCUCUCAGCUGUCACUGAAAGGUUGGUGAUCCUCUUGAAAAGGCUGCACAUAAAGGAAUAGAUUGGAGCCUAAGAAGCACCGAUACGGGUACGAGUAUCCGGAUACGAUACGGUCGGAUCCGUGGAUACGGCAAAUCUUAAAUGUAAUUGGAUACGGGUACGAGAAGGAUCCGUCAAAUAUAUAUAUAUAUAAUUAGAAAAAAAAAAUUAUUAAACAUAAACAAAGUACUAGUUUAUCACAAUCAAACAUCUAUGAUCUCAUUUUCAGCAUCAGCAGCUCCACCACUAGUACUGUUACCCGACACUAGAACUAAUAGGAGGUGUUCCUCCAUCACUCA